rnacentral:rRNA from 1 species
GAUGCCAUGGGCGCAAGCCUGAUGCAGCCUGCCGCGUGUGUGAAGAAGGCCUUCGGGUUGUAAAGCACUUUCAGUGGAGGAAAGGUUAGUAGUUAAUACCUGCUAGCUGUGACGUUACUUACAGAAGAAGCACCGGCUAACUCCGUGCCAGCAGCCGCGGUAAUACGGAGGGUGCGAGCGUUAAUCGGAAUUACUGGGCGUAAAGCGUACGCAGGCGGUUUGUUAAGCGAGAUGUGAAAGCCCCGGGCUCAACCUGGGAACUGCAUUUCGAACUGGCAAACUAGAGUGUGAUAGAGGGUGGUAGAAUUUCAGGUGUAGCGGUGAAAUGCGUAGAGAUCUGAAGGAAUACCGAUGGCGAAGGCAGCCACCUGGGUCAACACUGACGCUCAUUGUACGAAAGCGUGGGGAGCAAACGGGAUUAGAUACCCCGGUAGUCCACGCCCGUAAACGAUGUCUACUAGGAGUUCGGUUUUUCGGAACUGUCUUCCAAAGCUAACGCAUUAAGUAGACCGCCUGGGGAGUACGGCCGCAAGGUUAAAACUCAAAUGAAUUGACGGGGGCCCGCACAAGCGGUGGAGCAUGUGGUUUAAUUCGAUGCAACGCGAAGAACCUUACCUACACUUGACAUCCAGAGAACUUACUAGAGAUAGUUUGGUGCCUCGGGAACCUAGAC